rnacentral:rRNA from 1 species
UACGUAGGAGGCAAGCGUUGUCCGGAAUACUGGGCGUAAAGCGUGCGCAGGCGGUUUUGUAAGUCUGUCGUGAAAGCCCCGGGCUUAACCUGGGAAUUGCGAUGGAGACUGCAAGGCUUGAAUCUGGCAGAGGGGGGUAGAAUUCCACGUGUAGCAGUGAAAUGCGUAGAGAUGUGGAGGAACACCGAUGGCGAAGGCAGCCCCCUGGGUCAAGAUUGACGCUCAUGCACGAAAGCGUGGGGAGCAAACAGG